AUGUCAAGUGUGCCUCAGAGUCUUACCCCACCCACGUAUCAAUUUUGAAAACUGCAACAUUAGUAGGCGUUGCCUGGAGGACCGAGAGGGCGGAGCCGUGGCAGUGACGAAGAGACGGCUAACUAGACGAAGCUAGCUCCCUUCACUCUGAGCAGUCAUUAGAAGUGGAGGACGUUUCUCCCCCUCCUUACCCAGACACUCGAGAAGAAAGGGACCAAGUCUAUUUGGAGGAGACAACCGGACAUGAGCCUUAUUGUUUUGAGCUUGUGAGUUGCCUGAAAUUACUGGAACCGACCCAACAGACCCAUCUCUGAACGUGAUCCUCUGGUGUCUGCAGCUGGUCUCCUGCUGAUGUCGUCGGGAUCAGGAACUUCCAGAAGAAUGUGCCUUUCAAUGACUCUUUCCCCCUUAUUUGUUAUAUUAAUUAAAUAAAUCUCAAUUUAUA